UACGUAGGGUGCGAGCGUUGUCCGGAAUUAUUGGGCGUAAAGAGCUCGUAGGCGGUGUGUCACGUCGGCCGUGAAAACCUGCAGCUUAACUGUGGGCGUGCGGUCGAUACGGGCAUCACUGGAGUUCGGCAGGGGAGACUGGAAUUCCUGGUGUAGCGGUGAAAUGCGCAGAUAUCAGGAGGAACACCGGUGGCGAAGGCGGGUCUCUGGGCCGAUACUGACGCUGAGGAGCGAAAAGCGUGGGGGAGCAAACAGG
rnacentral:rRNA from 1 species